ACAUGUACAAGUACAAGGCAACGAAAUGCAGUUUAGGUCUAACCAGAGUGCAAUAGUAGCAAGUGCAGGAUAUACAAGAUUUAAAUAAGUUAAGUGGUAAUAUGGAGUAAUUUACAGUUGUGUACAUACUAUGAACAAUAUACAGAUUUACAGAAGGAUAUGCGCUGUAAUAAAAUAUAUGGCUAUUACUAUAUACAGUAAUUUACAGAUAUGUAUGUUCUGUGAAUAUAAUAUACAAAUGAGUAUAUAUGUACUAUGAAUAUAACAUACUGUAUAUGUGCUAUGAACAUAAUAUAUAAUAUACAGAUGUAUAUUAUUAUUCCUAGUAAUAGUUUCUUUUGUAAACAACACUAAUGGUGUGACAAUCAGCACUUUCUGGAAGCAUGGGAUGCCCUCGUGAAAUCAUGUCCUCAUGUCUUCAUGCAGGAACACUUGCAGACGCAUGUGUUUCAAAAUUCUCAGUACAAGCACUUACACCACAUAAGGAAGUAGCAUGGCAAGUAGAAGCAAUUGCCUUCCUCGGCAUGAAGCACAGAGAGUGGAUAGCUUCUACAGUUGAUGUGGACCGCACACUGUUUGGCUGAAGUAGGCCCUAGUCUGCUGUUUACAAGAGGACCAGGAUCGGUCAUCUGGCCUGCUACCAGGCUCAAUAACUCUCUGGCCAAAUGACUCGGAAUCUGGAAAAAAAUGCAAAAGCGAAAAUGUGUUGAAGAGAUGUUCAGUAUGAGCUUAUUGUGAAUAAGAGUCCCGAGAAGAGCACGGGACAGUGUUUAUGAGUACAACAGCAGUUCUUAGGAAAUAAUGCCGGAUUAGGGGCUAAAGCACUUGGCAGCAGUUGAAACGCAAUAGGAAGUGCAACACCUUUGGCAGCACGAGAUGCUCUGGCAAUGUAUAGUUCCGCAUCACUCGAGACCAGAUGACUGCUUGUGGUGUGACGUACUGCUGAUGGAUUCAAAUUAUAUUAGAAUCCGAUUUAUUGUGGUCCGAAUCGUUUUUUAUGGGCGUCGCUCUGCAUAUGCGUUCUUUGAUCUCGCUCAUCUACAAUUAAAAGAAUUAUAUCUGUCCUUGCCACACAACUUGGUUUGUAAUGCCUAAAGUAUGCGUUUUCCUCUCACAGUGUCUUCAUGGGAAAUUAAAUUGAUACCGCAAUGACUGUGACCUUUCACCAAGCCUUGAGGCUUUCUGCAAUUAGCAGUUCCAGUCACAUGGCUUCUGUGGAGGCUCUCACUUUGUUCUCAUAUACCGCUUAAUUAUGGGCCCAAGCCUUGAUAACAUUUAAGUCUAACAUUUAAAUUUCAGUCUCCGCUUUGAAGUGAACAAGUGUCGGAAGAUUUUAUGAAAAUGCCUUUUUAUUGUUAGUGAUUUGUAAAGUAAGUAGGAAAUGAGUUUCUCUGUGCAGGCAGCUGGAUUAUUCGCACACACUCUGGCAUGUUGCCCUUAUCGAUGUUUUCUUUUUGUGCUUCGAUGCAUGCAUGCUUUACAUGCAAAUGCCUGCUUGUAUCUUGAGCAUAGAGAGGAAAACAGACUGGCACACUCCUGGCGUGGGAUCUCAGGGGACGUCACCCCUCAGCUGUGGUACCCCCUCACCCACCAAAUUGUCCUUUUCACGGAAACUGAGCAGGCCUUCAAAUUGUUUUCAGAUGUCAGGCUUUGGGUUACAAGAAUGUAGUGCGGCUUCUUUCUCUCAGAGGUUGAAUUAAUUUAUUGCUGCAUAUUAAAAUGCUUCAAGAGUCUCCCUGGUUUUCGAUUUAAUAUAUAUGCGUGGGUGGCAAUUUCCUCAAAGCUUUUUACGGUUUUCAGAGGAUGCGUGUGUAGGGUAUGCGGAGUUAGGCCUGUUUUCUUCAAUUAAUGAUGCAUGCUAUUUUGCUUUGCUUGGACCUGCACAAUCAGGAGACUUCUAAUUAGCUGAUUCAUCAAAAAGAAAUUUCCACAUCAUGAAUUUAUUUUUUCAGAAAAGAAAUCUUGAAAGCAUGACCACAUACAGCAUUUAUUUUCAGGGUACUACAAAGCAUUUCACAAUCUUUCAGUCUGUAACACAACGUCUCUUAUAUGUGCCAGGCA